AAGUCUGACGGAGCACGCCGCGUGAGUGAUGAAGGUUUUCGGAUCGUAAAACUCUGUUGUUAGGGAAGAACAAGUACCGUUCGAAUAGGGCGGUACCUUGACGGUACCUAACCAGAAAGCCACGGCUAACUACGUGCCAGCAGCCGCGGUAAUACGUAGGUGGCAAGCGUUGUCCGGAAUUAUUGGGCGUAAAGCGCGCGCAGGCGGUUUCUUAAGUCUGAUGUGAAAGCCCCCGGCUCAACCGGGGAGGGUCAUUGGAAACUGGGGAACUUGAGUGCAGAAGAGGAGAGUGGAAUUCCACGUGUAGCGGUGAAAUGCGUAGAGAUGUGGAGGAACACCAGUGGCGAAGGCGACUCUCUGGUCUGUAACUGACGCUGAGGCGCGAAAGCGUGGGGAGCGAACAGGAUUAGAUACCCUGGUAGUCCACGCCGUAAACGAUGAGUGCUAAGUGUUAGAGGGUUUCCGCCCUUUAGUGCUGCAGCAAACGCAUUAAGCACUCCGCCUGGGGAGUACGGUCGCAAGACUGAAACUCAAAGGAAUUGACGGGGGCCCGCACAAGCGGUGGAGCAUGUGGUUUAAUUCGAAGCAACGCGAAGAACCUUACCAGGUCUUGACAUCCUCUGACAACCCUAGAGAUAGGGCUUCCCCUUCGGGGGCAGAGUGACAGGUGGUGCAUGGUUGUCGUCAGCUCGUGUCGUGAGAUGUUGGGUUAAGUCCCGCAACGAGCGCAACCCUUGAUCUUAGUUGCCAGCAUUCAGUUGGGCACUCUAAGGUGACUGCCGGUGACAAACCGGAGGAAGGUGGGGAUGACGUCAAAUCAUCAUGCCCCUUAUGACCUGGGCUACACACGUGCUACAAUGGGCAGAACAAAGGGCAGCGAAGCCGCGAGGCUAAGCCAAUCCCACAAAUCUGUUCUCAGUUCGGAUCGCAGUCUGCAACUCGACUGCGUGAAGCUGGAAUCGCUAGUAAUCGCGGAUCAGCAUG
rnacentral:rRNA from 1 species